rnacentral:rRNA from 1 species
UACGGAGGGUGCGAGCGUUGUUCGGAAUCACUGGGCGUAAAGGGCGUGUAGGCGGUCCGCUAAGUCUGAUGUGAAAGCCCGGGGCUCACCCCCGGAAGUGCAUUGGAAACUGACGGACUCGAGUCCCGGAGAGGAGGGUGGAAUUCCUGGUGUAGCGGUGAAAUGCGUAGAUAUCAGGAGGAACACCGGUGGCGAAGGCGGCCCUCUGGACGGUGACUGACGCUGAGACGCGAAAGCGUGGGGAGCAAACAGG